GAUGAACGCUAGCGGCAGGCCUAAUACAUGCAAGUCGAACGGUAAGUUGGGUAGCAAUACCUAGCCUAGAGUGACGUAAGGGUGCGUAACAAGUAUGCAAUCUGCCCUCAACUGGAGGAUAGCUCCCCGAAAGGGGAAUUAACACUCCGUAAUAUCAUGGGAAGGCAUCUUUUUGUGAUUAAAACUCCGGUGGUUGAGGAUGAGCAUGCUUCUGAUUAGCUAGUUGGUGGUGUAACGGACCACCAAGGCGAUGAUCAGUAGGGGAACUGAGAGGUUGAUCCCCCACACUGGCACUGAGAUACGGGCCAGACUCCUACGGGAGGCAGCAGUAGGGAAUAUUGGACAAUAGGUGCAAGCCUGAUCCAGCCAUGCCGCGUGCAGGAAGAAGGCCUUCUGGUUGUAAACUGCUUUUGCCAGGGGAUAAAAAGCCCAUGCGUGGGAAACUGAAGGUACCUGGUGAAUAAGCCACGGCUAACUACGUGCCAGCAGCCG
rnacentral:rRNA from 1 species